UGUAAUAUUUGAUAAGAAAUAAGACCUGUUGAUUUAAAACAGGUUUAAAUUGCAAUUGUUUCCUCUUCUUUAAAUGUUGCUUGCUUAGAAAUCUGUGUAUAACAUUUGUAUUUUUAGGGUUAUGAGAACUGCUCUGUACAAGCAGAUUACUAGUAAUGUGAAAUAUACUUUAAAUAUGGAUAUCUCCAGUUCUUGAAAAUUUACAUGUACCUUAAUUGAAUCGAAAUGCAGAUUGUGCAUUUAUGGUUAUUAGUACAAGAGUACCGGUAAUCACUAAAUUGUUUUUUGUAAAAGCAUUCCAAGAAUGUCAUGCCAUGAUUAUUUAAGUCUUAUUUAAAGUGUCUAUUAAAAAUUAUAUACCGUUAUAUAGAUGUAUGUUCAAUGUUCACUGUAGGUGGAAUUUUUGCCUAUCUGUCUGUCUGUAUUUCUAUUGGAAGUAUUGUGUACUCCAUGUUUUUCCUUAACCAACAAAGUUCAUGUAAUCAAGGUUUGAUCAUUAAGUUCUUGCCAGUAUGAUAUAUGAUGAAUACCUGUGAAGAUAAUGAAUAUUGAAUUUUACUUGUUUGAUAAAUAAUGGUUACUGUAUAUUGAAAGAAGAAUGUACCGUUAAUGUGUGUGCAGUAUUACUAGCAAUCUUCUCACCCUGAGAUUAAUCUGCAAGAAUCUCCUUUCUCUGUGAUGAAAUGAUGCUUCUUGUGGCUGUAUUUGUUAUGUACCCUCCCUCUCCUCAUGUAACAGUCUAAUGUCUGAGAGUCCUUAGCUUUUUUUGGUCACUUAGGUAACUUAAUAUAUGCAUCUUCGCUAGCUAAGAAUUAAUGAACCACUCACAUCUCUACACAAGAGGAGCAGAGUGGAUUGUUAGCCAUUGGAUAAUGAAGAUGAAUGUAUUGUUUUCUAAAUAUCUUUCAUAAGUGACUAAAACAGGUUCUAUAAUCUUGAGUCUUAAAUUUAUCUUUUAUUUUUUUACACUGAAGUUGCAGUAGGACUGCAGUUCUUUUAAAAAUAGAAUUGCUGGUUUUUGCUGGAGGUCCAUAGCUAUGUACAUUUUUUGUAAACAAUUAAUUGUUUUGAGAAUUCUGUGAUGUUUUGUUGAUUUGGAAUAUGAUAUACCGGUAUGUCAAAUAGAACAAGUAAUCGCCAUUGUUUGACUGUAUAAAGUUUCCAAGUCCAAUUAAGUGUGUCAAAUUGAAGCCAAUGCAGUUAUAUUGUUAUUUCUAUUUAUUGCUGUUAAAUAAAAUUCUGUGG
rnacentral:sRNA from 1 species